UCUCUCUGAUCUGAUGUUUCAUCUUCAAAUGAGCUUAACUUGUCAUUUAUUAGAAGGACAUUGCAGCGUGUUGUGAAAUGCAUCAUUCAUGCUUUGCACCCAGUAGCCAUUUGACAGGAUUCAAUUUAAAUAUAUUGUCAAAAUUUCAUUUUUUUUAAAUAGAAAAUAUUGGGAGGAAAAAGUUGUCAUAUCAGAAUUUUUAGGAACCUUCUGGAGCGAAAGAAAUGACAAAACAAAACGAUGUAAUUUUACCAGAUUGAAGCCAAAUGUAUCGUGAAAAAGUAUUUUUAUUUUAUUUUAGAAAAACACAAUAUUGUGUGGAAAAAAGUUAUCUUUCAAGAAUUGUGUAAAAAUAUUAAUAACAAGGUUUUUGUAGUUAGUUAGUUGUCAUUGUACAAUAAUUGUGUUAGAAUUUUUUGAGUAAAAUGUUAAACAUUAAAAAAAUAUAUGCCAUUUUAAAGGAUUCAAGUCAAAUAUAUUGUGGAAAAAAAGCCAUAUUUUUUUUUUUUGGAAAAUAGGUUGCAAUAUUGUGAGGAAAAGUUGUCAUAUAACAUUUUUUAGGCAUUUUCUGGAAAAAAAAAUUUUUUCACAAAACAAAAUUAGAGUAUGUAGUUUUACCAGAUAUAAGUCAAAUAUAUUAUAAACAGUCUUUUUUUUUUUUGACAAAAGUUAGUGAUUAAAAAAUAAUUUUUGUCAUUGUACAAUAAUUAUUUCAGAAUAUUUAGAGUUAAAUGUUAAACAUUUCCCUCAAAAAAUAUGCCAUUUUAAAGGAUUAAAGUCAAAUAUAUUGUGAAAAAAUCCAUCUUUUUUUUUUAGAAAAUAGGUUGCAAUAUUGUAUGAAAAAGUUGUCAAAUAGGAUUUUUUAGGAAUCGUCUGAGAAAAAAAAUAAUUUCACAAAACAAAAUUUAGUAAUUUUACCAGAUAAAAGUCAAAUGUAUUAUAUAAAAAUGUUCUUUUUAUACGAAAAAGUUAGUAAUAUUUGAAGAAAAAUGUUGUCGUUGUACAAGAAUUAUGUCAGAAUAUUUUUAGUAAAAUGUUAAACCCAUACAAAGGAAAAAAUAUGCCAUUUUAAAGGAUUAAAGUCAAAUAUAUUGUGAAAAAGGCCAUCAUUUUUUAGAAAAUAGGUUGCAAUAUUGUGAGAAAAAGUUGUCAAAGGAUUUUUUUAGGAAUCUUCUGAGGGAAAAAAAUAUUUCACAAAACAAAAUUAUGUAAUUUUACCAGAUAAAAGUCAAAUAUAUUCUACAAAUUGUAUUUAUUAUUUUUUUUUAAAUUUUGUGAUAUUUAAAAAAAAUGUCAUUGUACAAGAAUUGUCGGAAUAUUUUGAGUAAAAUGUUAAACAUUUACAAGAAAACAAAUGCCAUUUUAAAGGAUUAAAGUCAAAGAUAUUGUGAAAAAGGCCAUAUUUUUUUUGAAAAUACCGUAAUUUCCGGACUAUAAGCCGCACCUGACUAUAAGCCGCACCAGCUAAAUUUAGGGGGAAAUACAGAUUGCUCCAUAUAUAAGCCGCACCCGACUAUAAGCCGCAGGGUUUUGAUGUGUAAUUAGCGUAGUAUAUAGGUGUGCAGGACUUCGGUUGCUUCUCCCCCUCGUGCACAAACUGCCUUGAAGAUGCAGGAUGGGAGGAAGGCGGCAGAGUGUUGACAACCGUGCGUCGACUCCAAGACAUUUCAGCACUUGGUUGUGCUGCCAAGUGUAUCGAAGGCUUGUCUUGCAGCCGACCAGGAUGUGUUCCAGGUUUGCUGGAGAUGGAAAAAGGGGGCAUGUGGGGUCUUCUUCGUACCACUGGCUUAGGUUCUGUGGUGAUGGUAGGACGUCGUAUGUGGCUCGCAGUAUGAAGCUGGUUCAAAAAGCUUCCAUGUCCCAAAUCUCUUUCCAGGAGAGCUUUCGCUUCUCAACAUUUUCCCAACACAUCCAAUGACCUUGCUUUCCUUGUGAGACAGCCUUUGCACACCUCUCAGCCUCUUCCUCUCUGCGAACUUCUUCGACCUCAAGUCCACGUCGCUGAGCUGGACCUGCUUUGUACCAGGAUGGUGUACUCUCUCCGGGACCAAGGCCAACGCUUUCCAUUUGCACGUGGCCGACGAUGUCUCGAUGCUUAAGGGCUGACUUGGCCUGGUGUGUAGCUGCAGCUGGAGUCCACUUCCUCCCGGUUACAAGGGUCAGAGCAUUUUUAGCCACACAGGGUCUCGGGAUUCUGUCAGUAUCAUCUCCAGCCGGACUUUGGUACUCUUGAUUUCCUCUGUGAGGCUGAACAGAGGAAGCUCCAGGAUGUCUUUACCAUACAAAGCUAUGUUGGUAAGGCACCUGGGAAGACCUAGCCAUUUCCUGGCAAAGGAGCUGAUCAACCUCUCAAGUUUCUCAACCUUUGAGAUCGGCAUCUCAUAGAUGGUCAGAGGCCACAUCAACCGAGGUAUUAGACCAAACUGAAGGCACCAAAGCUUCAACCUGCCAGGGAGCAGGGUCUUGUCGAUGCGCUGAAGACCACUGGUAGCAUCCUGUCUAAGCUGUUCCACUUGGGUCGUAUCCUUGAGGGUUGCAUCGUACCACCGCCCGAGGCUCUUGAUUGGCUUUGCUACCACGGUUGGUAUGGGCUCCUCGCCGAUGUAAAAGCGCUGGUCCGAUAGCUUGCCUUUGACAACAGACAGGCUCCUGGACUUGCUCGGUUUAAACUUCAUCCGGGCCCAUUCAAUGUUUUCCUGCAACUUCCUCACCAGUCGUCUGGUACAUGGGAUGGUUGAAGUGAGAGUGGUCAUAUCAUCCAUGUAUGCCCUAAUGGGAGGGAGCCAAAGGCCUGGUUUUAGCUGCUCUCCUCCCACCACCCAUCGAGAUGCACGGAUGAUGACCUCCAUUUCCAUGGUGAAGGCCAGUGGGGAAAUGGUGCAUCCUGCCAUAAUGCCCACCUCCAGGUGUUGCCAAGCCGUGGUGUACUCUGCCGUUGACAGGCAUAUCUGCACGUCCAGGGAAUAGGCCCUGACGAGGGCACUGAUAGCAUUUAGAACCUGGUAGUAGCUUAACGUAGUCCACUGGACGUUGUGUGGAAAUGAGCCAAAGACGUUGGCCAGAUCCAGGAAAACCACAUGGAGGUCUCUUCCAUCACUCUUUGCGGCCUGGACUUGGUGCCAUAUCAUGCUCAGGUGCUCGACACACACCCGGGAAAGCCUGGCAUCCCUGCUUUCUGCACUGAUGUGUCAAUGAAGUGGUUCAUUUCCAGGUAGGUGGUCAUCCUGCGAGCCACAUGUGUUCUUAAUUUCUGCCAGGCCCCGGAUUCCCAUGUUCUUAAGGAGACUGGUAUUUGACCUGCCCACGACGCCUCUGCAGCCCACCUCCACAGGGAGAACUGUAAAAAUAUAAAACUAGUCUUUUUUUUAAUUUUUUUUUUUUCAAGAAAAGUUAGUAAUAUUUUAAGAAAAAUGUUGUCAGUGUACAAGAAUUAUGUCAGAAUAUUAUGAGUAAAAUGUUAAACAUUUACAAGAAAAAUAUGCCAUUUUAAAGGAUUAAAGUCAAAUUUAUUGUGAAAAAGGCCAUAUUUUUUUAGAAAAUAGGUUGCAAUAUUGUGAGAAAGUUGUGAUAUAAGAUUUUUUAGGAAUUUUCUGAGAAAAAAAACAAUUUCACACAACAAAAUUAUGUAAUUUUACCAGAUAAAAGCCAAAUAUAUUAUAAAAAAUAAUGUGGUUUUUUUAGAAAAGUUAGUAAUAUUUUAAGAAAAAUGUUGUCAUUGCACAAGAAUUGUCAGAUUAUUUUGAGUAAAAUGUUAAACAUCUACAAUAAAAAAUGCCAUUUUAAAGAAUUAAAGUAAAAUUUAUUGUGAAAAAGGCCAUGUUUUUUUUUUUUUAGAAAAUAGGUAGCAAUCUUGUGAGAAAAAUUUGUCAAAUAAGAUUUUUUAGGAAUCUUCUGAUAAAAAAAAAUAUUUCACAAAACAAAAUUAUGUAAUUUGACCAGAUAAAAGCCAAAUAUAUUAUAAAAAAUAGUGGGGGUUUUUUGAGAAAAGUUUGUAAUGUUUUAAGAAUUUUUUUGUCAUUGUACAAGCAUUCCAACCAUCCAUUUUCUACUGUUUGUCCCAAGAAUUAUGUCAGAAUAUUUUGAGGAAAAUGUUAAACAUUUACAAUAAAAAGUAUGCAAUUUUACAGGAAAUAAUGUCAGAUAUACUGUGAACGAGUAUUUAUUUUUUUCCAGAAAAACGCAACAUUUUAUCAAAAAAAGUUAUCGUUCAAGAAUUGUGUAAAAACAUUAAGAAAAAAAGUUUAUAGUCUUUUUUUUAAAAAGGUAUGCCAUUUUUCAUGAUUGAAGUCAUUUUAUAAAAUUGUUUAUUUUAUUUUGGAAAAAAGUUGCAUUAAAGUCUGCAAAAACAUUUUGGAAUAUUCUGAGAAUCUUUUUUUAUUUAUUUUACAAGACAAAUGUAUGUAAUUUUACAGGAUUAAAGUUUAUUAUAAAAAAAAUAGAAAUAGUUUGAAACAAAAGUUGUCAUUGUAUAUUGUGUAAAAAUUAUGCCAUUUUACAGGAUUAAAGUCAAACUUUUUGUUUAAUGAAAAACACAGUAUUGUUUGAAAACAUUCUUACAAGAAUUGUGUAGGACUAUAUUAAGAAAAAAAAUUAAAUUUAAAAAAAAAAAAGAAAAUUCUACCGAUUAUCAUGAUUAACGUCAAAUAUAUUGUAAAAAAAAGUCAGUUUUUUUUUUUAGAAAAACGCAAAAUCGUGUGAAAAAAUAUAUCUUACAAGAAUUGUGUAGACAUAAUUUAAGAAAAUUAUAUUUUAAGAAAAAAGUAAAAAAAAUAUAAUAAUAAUAAAAAGGUCUACCAAUGAUAAAAGUAAAAAAUAUUGUAAAAAAAUAAAUAAAUAAUAAAAAGUCAGUUUUAUUUAGAAAAACACAAUCUUGUGAAAAAAUUAUCUUACAAAAAUUGUGUAGAAAUAUUUUAAGAAAAUAAUAUUUUAAGAAAAAAGUUUACUUUUUUUUUUUUUUUUAAUUAAAAGUUCUACCAUUGAUUAAAGUCAAAUAUAUUGUGAAAAAAGUCUUUUUUUUUUCUUUUUUUUUUCCAGAAAAAACAAGUUUGAAUAUUGUGAGAAAGUUUUCAUACAAUAUUUUUUAAGAAUAUUCUUGAGAGUUUUUCAUUUUAUGUUACAAGACAAAAUUAUGUAAUUUUACAAGAUUGAAACUCAAAUAUAUGAUGAAAAAGUUUUUUGGGGGCGGGGGAAAGUUAUAAUUUUGUGAUUAAGAAAAAGUUGUCGUACAAAAAUUAUGCACUGUAGAAAUAUUUUAAGUUUAAAUUUGACACAAAAAUGGUUACCACAAAAAUGUAAAUAUUGUGAAAAUAUUGUGGGGGGAAGUAUUUUUUACAAAAUAGUUACCAAUGUGUCUACUAACUGUAUAAAUAUUGGAUAAAAAAGGUUUACAUUUUACAAGAAUAUUUUACAGAAUGCUAAAAACACGGAAUGCUAACACUCGGCUAAUGGUGUAGCCGUGGCUGUCAGGUUGACCAAGUUUUAGCAGAACAACUCACGUGGCUUCAGCACAUGUCUAACUUGGAAGAAUUACCCAGGAUGUGAUGAAGUAUUUCCAGGUAAUGGUCGUGUUGUAGUGGCCGGGUGAUGCUUGGAGGAUCCUCCAGGCUACCAGUGAGUACUGUACUCUACAGUAGAAUGAUUUAUAUCAGUGCAAAGGUGACUCUGAGGAUGAUAUUUCAUGUUUAGAGCGCCCUAAUGAUGUUCAAUAUCCAUGAUCCAACUUUGUGCAAACUUUAGUUUUCACAAAGAGACUUUAAAGUCCAUCCUAGCUUUUAUUGUUGUAAAUAAAAACACAAAAAUAAAGAUUUGGACUGUUGAAUUUCCAUAGGUCAGCGCUUUUCAUAGGUGUGAGCAGACAAAUUGAUCUCACGUCUGGUAUGUGUGUCAACGCAUCACACUUCACUGGAGCGUGUGUGUGUGCGUGCGUGCGUGUGUGUGUUUGUGUGUGUGCGUGUGUUUGUGUGUGUGCGUGUGUUUGUGUGUGUGUGUGUGAGACCUUAAUGCGUUUCACUGCUAACAGUUCACAAAAAUAACGACUGCAAGUAAAUAACAAAUAAUAAUGAAUAAUAACAAAUAAUAAUAAUGAAUAAUAACAAAUAAUAAUAAUAAUAACAAAUAAUAAUUCAUCAUAAUAAUAACAAAUAAUAAUACAUAAUAACAAAUAAUAAUAAUUAAUAACAAAUAAUAAUAAUGAUAAAUAAUAGCAAAUAAUGAUAUUAUAAAAUAACAAACAAUUUUUAAUAAUAAAUAAUAACAAAUACAAAUAAUAAAACAUAACAAAUAAUAAAUCAUAGCAAAUAAUAACAUAUAAAUAAUGAAACAUAACAAAUAAUAAAUCAUAGCAAAUAAUAACAAAUAAAAAUAAAUAUGAACAAAUAAUGAUAAAUAAUAACAUAAUAAUACAUAAUAACAAAUAAUAAUAAUAAAUCAUAACGAAUAAUAAUUAUCCAUGAUUAUAAAUAAUAUUAAAUAAUUACAAAUAAUAAUAAUAAAUAAUAACAUAAUAAUAAUAAAUCAUAACAAAUAAUGAUAGAUAAUAACAAAUAAUAAUAAAUAAUAAUGAUAGAUUAUAACAAUAUUAAUAAAUAACAAAAAAAUAAUAAUAAUGAAUAAUAAAAAAUAACAAAUAAUAAUAUAUUAUAACAAAUAAUAAAUCAUAGCACAUAAUAAAUAAGAAAUAAUGAUAAGAAAUAACAAUUAAUAAUAAUAAAUAAUAUAAAUAAUAACCAAUAAUAAUAGUAAAUAAUAACAAAUACCAUGUAACACCGCGUGAGGUGCCCUGGGAGUGACGUCAUCAAGUUGUCGCAGUGAAAUGUGGUGCGAGAUAAUUGUUACGUUGUGAUAAAAGUAUCAAGGAACAGGAAGAAGAUCCAAAUGAAGAAGGAGAAGAAUUGCUUGGAUUUGUCUUUUUCCCCCCUGAUUUUUAUGCUUUUUAUGGGUUUUCUUCAGUGCACCAACAAGCUGCUUCUCAGCGAGCGACGCACGGGACUCCGCCUCCAAGACUUUGCCCGAAGAAACGCUGCCAACAUGCUGUCGGUCGCCAACAUGCUGAUGGGCAUGUCCUCCAUCCUCAGCAACCUCAGCGGGCACAAUAACGCCGCCUGUUGGCUGCUUCUCAUUGGCUACUUGCUGGACCUUGCUGACGGGGCCGUUGCUAGGCGACUGGACGCCUGCUCCGCGCUGGCGCCUUCUCACCGGGCGCAAACACCCGUUUUUCUCCAAAGCGCCUUCUCACCAGGCAAACGCCAGUUUUUCUCCAAAGGUGCCAAGCUGGACGACUUUGCUGAUUUCACCACCUUCGGGAUCGCCACGUCUCUGCUCCUGAGGACCCCCGCCCUGGGGGACAACGUCCUGUGCCUGUGCUACGUCCUCUCCGUCUUCGUCCGCCUCUGCUUCUUCUCCAGUGGGAUCCCCUUCAUGUACCGUGGUCUGCCGUGCAUCUACUCCUCGGCCAUCCUCGCCAGCAUCUCGCUGCUGCAGGGCGGGAACUCAACCAUGCUGCGGGUCAUCGCCGUGGCCCUGAUCCUUUUUAUGAUCAGCCAGAACUUCUACCCGCACGACCGAGUGCUGGAGUCUCAGGCCUGGAAGAAAGUUGUCUACGCUGGAGGUACUACAGCAUGCGUAGGGCGGAGCGGUCCAAACCACGCCCACACCCACGGGCCGGGGAGCGCCGUGAGACCAGGCCAGGAGGAGCGAGGCCUGGAGAUGCCGCCGAGUUAGGAGAAGCAGCGGAGAAGGGCCGGAGGCAGCAGCAGCCACCGGCGCCGGGAGGUCGCCCAGGGUAGGGGCGACAGAUCGGAUCCAGCUCGCUAUGCGCCGGGCAUCGGAGGUACGCCGGCAGCGUCCACCAGGAGGCGAUGAUCGGACGUGCGAGAGGAUGACAGCAGGAUCUUGAGUUUCACCAAAAUACCUCCCCUCUUCCACCGCCUCUUGGAACGCUUUUUUUCGCGAAGGAGCCGCAGGAGUGGUGAUGCUCUUCUGUUGGUCCUUCCCUCCUGCGUGUGUUUACUACCUGCUGUGGUCCGUCUCCUACCUCCUGUUCCCCACCUCUCUGUGGAGCAGUAAAGUGUAAACAGAGGUGUCCACUUCCACGCGGCGGCCAUGAUGGAGGGUCCUCGUUCAUCGCCCACAAACGCAACAACAGUUCCACUUCUGGAGAAGAAGUCUUCUCGUGGAACCUUCUUCCAGCCAUGAAGUCUCCAAACUUCUUCAAAGUUGAUUUCAUGCACAAGAAGCCCCCUUUGUCUACUUUUCGUCCGAUACUGGCCACAGACUGACGAAUCAAAUGAUGCGGGGGGCCACUUUGCUGGUUUUCACCUUCAAAUCAUAUAGAUUUUUUUUUACAUAGAUGUUUUUUUUACAGAACUAGAAAUUGCAAUUUGGGUAAAAGUUUUGUGGGAAUGCUGAGGAGCCAAAGCAGAACUGAAAUGCAAACAGUUAGCACGCUGGCUCCUAACAAAAUAUAUGCCAGCAAAAUGAGCUGAAAAAGAAGCUACCAUGCUAACAGUACCAUGCUAACAUGCUUACAGUUGGCGUUAGUGAAAUAUAUACCGACAAAGCGUAAUAUUGUUAGCACGCUAACAGGUAGCAUUCGUCAAGUAACAAAAUAUUUGACGCUGCUGAGGCGUAUACCUGUAAAAUUAGCACCAAAAAAAGCUAGCGUGCUAAUAAUAAAAUACUAACGAUUCUGUUAGUCAUUCUAUCGGCUACCAGAAUUGGACACGCCUGGUGUAAAUCUGUGCACACAUCCACCAGUAGACUUAUAGUUAACACAAUCGAACACUUUGAAUAAAAACAUAACAAUAAAAAUAUCUGA